rnacentral:rRNA from 1 species
UACGUAGGGCGCAAGCGUUGUCCGGAAUCAUUGGGCGUAAAGAGCUCGUAGGUGGUCUGUUACGUCUGCUGUGAAAUCCUAGGGCUUAACCCUGGGCCUGCAGUGGAUACGGGCAGACUAGAGGUAGGUAGGGGAGAAUGGAAUUCCCGGUGUAGCGGUGAAAUGCGCAGAUAUCAGGAAGAACACCUAUGGCGAAGGCAGCUCUCUGGGACGGUACUGACGCUGAGACGCGAAAGCGUGGGGAGCGAACAGG